rnacentral:rRNA from 1 species
CCUACGGGAGGCAGCAGUGGGGAAUUUUGGACAAUGGGCGCAAGCCUGAUCCAGCAAUGCCGCGUGCAGGAUGAAGGCCUUCGGGUUGUAAACUGCUUUUGUACGGAACGAAACGGUGAGCUCUAAUACAGUUUGCUAAUGACGGUACCGUAAGAAUAAGCACCGGCUAACUACGUGCCAGCAGCCGCGGUAAUACGUAGGGUGCGAGCGUUAAUCGGAAUUACUGGGCGUAAAGCGUGCGCAGGCGGUGAUGUAAGACAGAUGUGAAAUCCCCGGGCUCAACCUGGGACCUGCAUUUGUGACUGCAUCGCUAGAGUACGGUAGAGGGGGAUGGAAUUCCGCGUGUAGCAGUGAAAUGCGUAGAUAUGCGGAGGAACACCGAUGGCGAAGGCAAUCCCCUGGACCUGUACUGACGCUCAUGCACGAAGACGGUGGGGAGGACAAACAGGAGUAGUAUACCUACGGUACGUACCGACCGACCCUAAACCGAUGUCAACUGGUUGGUUGGGUUCGUUCUACU